GUACAGCAAGGAAGAGAAGAAAAGAUGAACACCUGCCCUAAACAAUAAAGCAGCACAAGCAUAAGCUAUGUACGGUGCAGUAAACAAAACAGAGACGUAAUACAUUCAAGUAAGAGCCAACAGGAUUCAACACAAAAGAAAGUAUUGUCAAUUUUUCUAGUGGAUAAAAGUUGAUAUGUCAAAAGGCUGAUGAAACUACAUACUGGUCAGGAAUGAACAAAGAGAAUAUACAUGCUACUGGCCCUGCUCUGAGUCAAUGGAUAGCUUUCUAGUGAGGCAUUAAGAAUUAUCUGGAAAGGCCAAGAGGAUGAUAGCCUAAAAAAUGACAGCAGGCUUGGCUUGUAUAACUGAAGCCCUUCAGUGAAAUUCUUUCAUGGUAGAUUGGCAAAGAACGUACGGAGUCAUUUUGAAGGGAUAUAUGGUAAUGGAUGAGAAGAAGCGAUCACUUCAGGCACUUAACGACUGAUGAAAGUGGGACAGUUUGCUUCAAAUGAUUCAGAAGCAUAAAUAGGACUAACAUAAUUGAAUGGGCUUUUCCCCUAUUCUGGGAGAAUGAGCAUCAAUUCCAUCUUUUUUGGAGGAAUUAAACAAAGGUGUGAACAACUGAAGAGAAGGAGCGUGGAGUCCUCUCCCAAGGAGAGCCUGAGUAGCCAGGUGGGUAGCUUACAGGCAAGCACAGUUCCAAGAAACAACAACAACAACAACAACAACAGAACCAAAAAAGAUCUAAGCUUGCCCACAGCAACAAGGUUUGUUUAUCACAAAAGACUUCUUUCCAUUAUGUUGUUUAAAUUUCUAAUUUGGUAGCCAUCAAAUUAGAAGCACUGAGGUAUGUUAAUUGAAGUGUCUUCUGCCAAAUUCCUGAGAGCAUAUAGAUAUGAAUAUUUUAUUACAAAGGAUUCGGGGCAAAG
ensembl:lncRNA